ACAGGAUGAACAACAGGUGGUUAUUCACAAUGGCAAGAAGUACCUGCUUUGUGAACGGCCGGAUGUCACGGAAACCAUGGAAGAGGAACUAAUGCGAGGCACAACUGUGGCAUUUAAGUGUGAACCUGAGAAGGAAAGCUUUCUGCAGUGGAUGAAGCUUUUUCAAUCCUUUACUAAAAGGAUAUUUAGUAUAUCGGGAUCCAAAUCCGGUGGAAAGCACGUUGGAUACAAGGCGUGGCUUCGCUGUCACCUGGAGGUACCCGAUCAACGUGGCCACCAACGAAAGAAAAUUUCGGAGCAGAAUUUGGGCUGCCCCACUCGGAUGACUGUCACCCUUAAACGGCAGGCUGUGAGGAACAGAAGCCGGUUGCCCUACGCAAACCAUCAGAUGAGAGUGACCUGCAACGGCAGGCCCCACAGCCAUGCGAAAGACUCGCCUGCAACGCUCAGGUUUAGACGGGUCGGAGAGGCGACAAAGGAGAGAAUGCUGGGGCUUCUCGCUCAGCAUCACUCGCCACCAGAGGCGCUGAGAAUUCUGAAACAGCAACUCCAGGAGGAGUAUGGGACAAGCUAUGAGAAGAUUUCA